AUUGAACGCUGGCGGCAUGCUUUACACAUGCAAGUCGAACGGUAACAGGCCGCAAGGUGCUGACGAGUGGCGAACGGGUGAGUAAUGCAUCGGAACGUGCCCAGUCGUGGGGGAUAACUACUCGAAAGAGUAGCUAACACCGCAUACGAUCUAUGGAUGAAAGCGGGGGACCGUAAGGCCUCGCGCGAUUGGAGCGGCCGAUGUCAGAUUAGGUAGUUGGUGGGGUAAAGGCUCACCAAGCCAACGAUCUGUAGCUGGUCUGAGAGGACGACCAGCCACACUGGGACUGAGACACGGCCCAGACUCCUACGGGAGGCAGCAGUGGGGAAUUUUGGACAAUGGGCGCAAGCCUGAUCCAGCAAUGCCGCGUGCAGGAAGAAGGCCUUCGGGUUGUAAACUGCUUUUGUACGGAACGAAACGGCUCUGGUUAAUACCCGGGGCUAAUGACGGUACCGUAAGAAUAAGCACCGGCUAACUACGUG
rnacentral:rRNA from 1 species